rnacentral:sRNA from 1 species
GCCAGACUUACCUUGAGGCGCGAGGUGUGUGGGACGAGGAUCGAAAGAACAAGCUCACCAGAUUUUAUGAAGGUGUGGCUAGCCUUGUAGAUUCAGGGUAGUAAAUAUGGUCUCUGUCUCAAAGGGUUGCCACUAGCAUAGACCAGGGGGCCUGCAGGCAUGUAGUUAAACCAGCUCCCACUUGGCUUCCGUCAGCCUGGUAACGUGAUAGGAUAGGCUGGGGAUUCGGUGCCAAUUCUCCAUGUAUCUAUCUGAUGGAAGAGAUGACAAGGCUCAAAGAGCAGCGCUACGUGCUCACUACCCACUGAAGUUUAUGUAUCAUUUAGUUCAAUGUGUCGUAGUUAUUGGGUUGCUGCCUCUCAUAUUACACUAUCUUCUGCCAUAUUGCCUUUAACUAUAAGUUGUAGAUAAGA